rnacentral:rRNA from 1 species
UACGUAGGGGGCAAGCGUUGUCCGGAAUCAUUGGGCGUAAAGAGCGUGUAGGCGGCCUGAUAAGUCGGUUGUGAAAGUCAAGGGCUCAACCCUUGAAUGCCGACCGAUACUGUCAGGCUAGAGUCCGGAAGAGGCGAGUGGAAUUCCUGGUGUAGCGGUGAAAUGCGUAGAUAUUUGGAGGAACACCGGUGGCGAAGGCGGCAUCCUGGACCAAUUCUGACGCUGAGGAGCGAAAGCCAGGGGAGCAAACGGG